rnacentral:lncRNA from 1 species
CUCCCCCUGCGUACUUUCCUUGUCCUGAAAAAAAGGGCAAACAGAUUUAGCACUCAGGUAAAACAGCAGAAAACAUAAAUAAACAUUAACAACAACGAAAAGAGUAAGUAUUCACAUUUCAAUAACAGAAUAGAUGAACACAGAGAGAACUCAGGUCAGGGAGCUACUCUCAAGAUCGAUGCUCUUCCAACUCUGUAAUCAAGCUACGCAUGACGUUCUAGCAAACUUAAGUCAUCAUGUAACACCUAUUGACUCUUAACACAACAACUCAAGAUCAAACCACAAACAUCUAUAACUUAUGUAGUUCCUCUGAAGGAGCCAAUAAAUUUGUCAUGCGACAAAAAUUACCAUCCAUAUAACUACUAAAGAAUCCUUUGUGGCACGACUACGUCCCAAUUUAUCGGUGUUCUUGACAUCUAUAGAUAAUGUAGUUUGAGUCACGCUUGAGUUGUGCAUGACAACUGAUAAAGCCACAGCCAGGGAAAAGACCAAUAAAUUGGUCCAAAAACAGUUGAUCGUACCACCGCAGAUUCUUCAAUUAAAGUCUCUGGAACGCUAGUUUCACAAAGAACCUCUCUCUGUGUCCAAAUAGAAACCAUUAGAUUCUAAGCCCAUAUUCACCAAUGGGAUGAAUGUCAGGUUCUUUCUCGAUGCAAAAACCCACAUUGUUCGGACAAUACACGUGCAACAGAGAGAGAGAGAGGAAACAAAAAACAAAAAAACCUCAUGCACUCCUCGGUUUACUAGCAUAGCAAAGUUCAGGAAGAAACGAAGGCACAAUUAUAUGGGUUAAACAACAACAACCUUUCCCUUGAUUUAAAUGACCUUCUUCCUAAAGAAGAAGCAACCUCCUAAUCUAACCUUCAACUUAUCUUCAAUGGCAUGUUUAAAAAAAUUACACCGGCAGAUAUCAAAUAGUAACAUAAUGAUAUCAACUUCCAAUUAUCACUUCCAUAAUUUGACAUCAUAACGAAACUGAGACUAGAGUAUCAAGCAUCCAUGACAUGGUGAGUCCAUAAUGCUUUAACAAAAAUACAGAGAUGAUGACUGAUGAAAAAUCUAAAGCAACCAAAAUACUAUUGGCUUGCCUCAAACAUGGCAACAUUGGCAUCCAAAGAGACACAAAGCAUAAAAAGCAUUUACUUAGCUGAAUCCUUCAGCUUUCUAAUUAUUACAAGGCAGGAGACCCUCAAAAAGAAGCAAGACCUUACUUCCCGGACAAGGUGAAACAAAAAGACAAAAGACUCAGGUCAAUCUCAAUCCUAAGCUAGCUAUUCUCUUGGUGGAAAACUCGCUCACAACAAUCAGUCAAAAAAUUGACAUAUAUAAAUUUAAAAGAAACAAUCAGCUGCAUCACAAAUUGUAGGAUGAUGAAGUCGCAUCACCAGCGAUCUAUUUUUUACCUAAAAGUCUCUAACUAUUCUAGAGGAGAACAAAACCUUG